UACAGAGGUCUCAAGCGUUGUCCGGAUUUAUUGGGCGUAAAGCGCCCGCAGGCGGCUUGGCAAGUUCGAGGUGAAAGUCUCCCGGCUCAACUGGGAGGGUGCCUCGGAAACUGCCAGGCUUGAGGCAGGGAGAGGGAAGUGGAAUUCCCGGUGUAGUGGUGAAAUGCGUAGAUAUCGGGAGGAACACCAAGGUGCGAAGGCGACUUCCUGGCCUGUUCUUGACGCUGAGG
rnacentral:rRNA from 1 species